UCUCGGGAUUAAAACCACAUCGAAAACAAAACAUUUGGCAGCAUCUUAUGUAGAUCAGGCUAGCCAUGCCUCUUCGUGUAGCUGAGGAUAAUCCUGAAUGUCUCAUCCUCUUGGUUUCCCUUCCCAAGUGCUGGGAUGAUAAGCACCUGCCCCACUGGCAAACAAACAUUCCCUACAUUUUUAAAAAUUUACUUUAUUUCUUGUGUAUGAAUGCCUGCAUCUGUAUAUGUGUGUCGUGUGCUUGCCCAGACGUGUGUCAGGGACGACUGAAAAAGGAAAUGGACCCCUGGAACAGGAAUUAGAAUGGUUGGGAAUCAUUUGUGUGCAUCUGGGAACCAAACCCAGGUACCUUGCAAGAGCAACAACUGCUUUUUAACUGUCUUCUCCAGCCUUCCAAAACAAAUAUUAAUGAAAAUGAAACCCAACCACCAAGACCUAGUAAUCUUAGCACUUGAAAGGCAGGAGGCCAGUGGCUCUUGGCCACCUCUGGCUCUGCCGUCCUGGGCAUAUUGGUUUCCCGCUGGAUGGGGUAGAGGGUUGCUGGAGCAGGGAGUAGCAAGUGGGAGCAAUGCUAGCAAGAUGUUGAGCUUCAUUUUCUCUCUUCUAGCCUCCGGGGCCCUGGCUGUUGGUGUACCCAGUCUUUUUGAUCUCACAGGCCGGGCCCACCCGCGGCCCCCCAUGAGCGCGCCCGGCUGACCCUGGAGGCGGCCG
rnacentral:lncRNA from 1 species